rnacentral:rRNA from 1 species
GUAGCCGGCCUGAGAGGGCGACCGGCCACACUGGGACUGAGACACGGCCCAGACUCCUACGGGAGGCAGCAGUGGGGAAUAUUGCACAAUGGGCGAAAGCCUGAUGCAGCGACGCCGCGUGAGGGAUGACGGCCUUCGGGUUGUAAACCUCUUUCAGCAGGGAAGAAGCGAAAGUGACGGUACCUGCAGAAGAAGCGCCGGCUAACUACGUGCCAGCAGCCGCGGUAAUACGUAGGGCGCAAGCGUUGUCCGGAAUUAUUGGGCGUAAAGAGCUCGUAGGCGGCUUGUCACGUCGGUUGUGAAAGCCCGGGGCUUAACCCCGGGUCUGCAGUCGAUACGGGCAGGCUAGAGUUCGGUAGGGGAGAUCGGAAUUCCUGGUGUAGCGGUGAAAUGCGCAGAUAUCAGGAGGAACACCGGUGGCGAAGGCGGAUCUCUGGGCCGAUACUGACGCUGAGGAGCGAAAGCGUGGGGAGCGAACAGGAUUAGAUACCCUGGUAGUCCACGCCGUAAACGGUGGGCACUAGGUGUGGGCAACAUUCCACGUUGUCCGUGCCGCAGCUAACGCAUUAAG